rnacentral:lncRNA from 1 species
AGAAAGAAAGCUCGAUGAUAAACUUUGUGACUCCAAUCUUCAUUCAGGAACCUCCAGGGCAAGAUAAAGAAUGAGGAGAGAUGGUGUCUUUUUCUUGUUCUAGGCUUCCUGAGAGUGCAGCUCAUCUUCGCCAGAUGAAGUCUCUUCCAGACCAGGCUGGCCUUGAGCUUAUUAUUGUAGCUGGUAGAGGAUAGUCUUAAAUUCUUGAUCCCCCUGCCUU